ACCCCUCCUCCCCCAAAAUUUAAAAAUUAAAACAAUAAAACAAUCCAGAACCACGAGCAACCUCCAUUACUCUCUCUCCCACUUCUCUCCACUUCUCCGGUCUCCACGGAGCACUUCUCAGGUCACGGGGCGAAGUGAUUCACUAUGGAAAACCAUAAAUCUUCGCAAGAAAACUCAGUCAUAAAAAGUAAAUCAGAAAAAACAAUGAAAAUAUACUAUCCACCAUUGUUGCUGCUAGCAAGCUGUUACUUUCAUCUAUCGGUUCUACACUCGAGUUCAUUGGAAUUGGAAGAUUCAUUCAAACAUUCAUCGUAAUUGAAUGGUUUUUUGCACUACCGAUUUAAUUUUCUACAAUUCAUGAUGUAAUUAGUCGGAAUUGAGGGGGGUUUUCGUGUUUCUUGCCCACCAAAUGUUUGUUUCAAUGGUGUUGGUGGUGUUGUGAGAUAAAGAAGGGUGCUCCUGCUAUCCUUGAAGUUGGUUUUCAGAAGUUGAAGUUUUGGCAAGGGAGUUCCUGUUCUGGACAAAGUGGAGAAUUCAUACAUAGCAAAGGAGAUUCUAGAGGGUAGCUGGUAGGCUUAGUGUUAUUGGAUGGGGGAAUGCUGCAAGGAAAUGAUGCAGGUUUGAGUUGCUUCUUCUAUACUCUGUGUUAGUGCCUUCAGGUGUUGUUGCAGAUUGUUAUUGUGUGUACCCGAGUGUAAAUUCACUUCAUAUUUUUUAUUUUCGAAUUCCUGGAUUUAGCUACUAUAAGUUGUAUUUCAGUGCUGAAGAUCUUAUUAGUAGCUUCUGCGAAAAAUUUGUUCGUCUGAUAUCAAGUCCUAUAUUAUGCUUUCAUGUAGAGCCUUUAAUUUGAUUACAUAUGGGGGGGUCUUACACCAUUAACAAACAAACACAAUUCACAUGACAUAUGUGGGGUCUUCUAAAUCAAAAAAAGAAAAAACAGAGUAGUUAGUUUGUCCUGAGAUGCUUUUCUUAAUUACAAUUAAAUUUGAAACUCGAGUUCAUGAUGUAAGUAAUACUUUGCAGUAACUAGUAAAUUACAGAACAAUGAAUUAAGUUAAUAAGGGAACUUUAAAGGCUUAUCGGAUUUAUGAUUGGAGAAUUGACUCUACUUAUCUCAACCAUUACCAUUCCUGUUUAACUUCCAAUUGUAUCGAACAUUAUUGUUUAGGUCUGUUUCCGUCUCUUGCAGCCAUUUAAACGUAAAAUUGUUCGUGAUAUGUAUGUUAGAAUUAUCAUCGGGAAUUUGUAAUAUCUCGUGACCUCCUUUAUGUUGAUAGUAUGAUACCGAUAGUGUACAGGGAUGCCUUGACUUCUCUAGGUAUUCACAUAUAGCAUAAGCUUUAUUUUAUAAAAUCUCUCUUGUGCAUAAUGCCAUAAUGCUUUUUUUUUCAUUCUCUUCAAACAGAAACUACUGGUUACUUGCUAUCUGCUUAUGGUGCUUAUUGCUUUCUGAAUAUAAUACUUCUUUUUGGCUUUAAAGCAUUGUUGUAUUCACUUUUUGGAUUUGAUUGUUCGUUUCCAUCAUUCCUGGUGUCUUCUCUAACAUCAAUUUGUAUUACAUGGCCCCUGUUGUUUGGGGGCCUUGGGCUAAUUAACAAGGUGGCUCUCUGCCAUUAGUUAUGUGGAUUUUCAGUGUUACCUCCUAUUAUUCUUGGUGUCCGGCUCUUAUUAUUCUUGGUGUUUGUCUUUAACAUAAACCUGCAUUAUUGAGUUGUUUCCAUAAAAUAAAGUCCCCAUUUUGUUGGGACCUUGGACCGAGUACUAUCCGUCACUACUAGACUUGAAUUUUUUCGGGGGCUUUGUUGAAUGACCAGUAGUCUCCUGAGUUUUCACAUGUAACAAAGAUUUAUUAUAAUAAAUAAGAUUAAUGGGCCAAAUCCGUUAAACUUCUACUCUAUACAACUUGCUAGAGAAUGGCGUUAGAGUUCAAUUAGUUUCUCUUUGUGACUAGGUAUAGACAAAAAGCUCAGUGAAAGCUGAGUAUAUUUAUUGGUCAUUGUGUGGUACUUGUAGAAUUGAUGUUGCAGAUGGAGAGUAGAGUCAAAUUUUUAAAUUCAAAAACAUAGACAAAUCAUUUAGCAAGAGUCCUCUCUAUGGUUCUUAUAUGGGUGUAGCCUGUUUGUCUCUUUCAUUCUCUUAGCAUGUGGCGUGAAAUCUACAUUAUUUUGUGGCUUCUCUUAGCCUGUGGCAUGAAAUCUACAUCCUUAUUAUCCUACCAACAAACGCAGUCACCUCUAGACACUUUGAUAAUAUUAGAAGCAGUGCAUAAGGAUAACAUUAGGAGCAGUUCAGUACUUCUGUACAGCCGUAGUGAGCAGUUCUAACAGUUAAGGUCCUUAGCACAAUGAACUGAUGCCCUUAAUUAAGGGUUUAAUUAGCUUAGCUUUUUGUUGAUCAUGAUUUGUAUUUUGUGUACCUUGAACUGAUGGGCACCAGGUCAAAAACCAAUAAACAGCAGUAUCAUCACAACAAACAAUACCAUAUCUAACACCAUUCCCAACAAACUGCUGAAAUUUUGACUCAAAACCAUGGCCAUCCUUGUAGUAUACACAACCCCUUAUAGCCGAUCUUCCUGUCAAUGACGGUUUCUUGAAUCCGAGCCACUUUGCCACCAAUGAAUUCACCCCCAUCACACCCCAACAAUACCCGUUUUCAGUAAAAUUACAACGGAACCCUGUAAAAUAACAUCAAGUGCAGCAAUUGAGCCAAUCUUGGUCAGGUACAAGUAUCUGCCUUAAUACCUUGGCCUUAAGGGUGGAACCAUCAGAAAGGUGCACAAGCUUUAAGAAGCAUGAUUCUUCAAUAGACAACACAUACAAAUGUUAUAGACUUGUCUAUAUAUAUAUAUAUAUAUGUGUUUUCAAAAGAAAAGGUUAUCCACAAAUAUUAUAAGGUGCUAGCUGAAGUAAGAUUGGGGCUCAGACAGAGACAUUUUAUCCUUUUUCUUCUCUUGUUAGUUGUUAAUAUUGUAGGACCAGGGAUAUAUUCACAAAAUUCAUCGUCUAAUUAAACUGAGUGAAUAGAUUUAUACAAAUAUUGAAGCUUAUUGAUCGAUAUCAUUUAUUUCCACCAUGUGGCAGAUUAUGUUAACUAGUUAAGGGUCCUGCUUGAGUUUCUUAAUAAAAAAUAAAUGGAACUGUGGGAGAGAAGAUUGUUGACAAAUCAGGUGUUAUUUGGAAUUGUCAAUCAAGGGACGUAAAGGAGAGAGAAAACAGUACUGUAAAACUCCACCCAACCCAUAGCCCAUAGAAAAUCAUCUGAAGCAUACCUUUGCUUUACUACAUGAGAUAAUUUGUUAAUUGUUAUUUCACAACCUCAAUAUUGUUCUUCUUUCUGACUAACUUUACCGGACCGGUUAGUCCUACGGGGUUCUUGUCAAAGAAAGGACCAUAGUUCUACAAGUAAAAGAUUAACAACAUUAUAUUUACAUGAAAAAUAUGUAAAUGAUAUAUAUUUGUAAGUAUAAUAUUUACCUAAAUUCCAAUGCACUAAGGAGUGCACUCAAUAUUCCAUGAAAAGAACAUUUCAAAUAUUCUGAUUACUUUAAAUAAUCACUAGUCAAGAGCUAUAAGUAUUUGAUUUAAUGAUUAUAGAUGUUUCCAAGGAGUAAAAUAUUAUCUCACACGCUAUUGGCAUACUUAUCAUUAUUCAGGAUUUCCUUUUUCAUAUAAGCAAUAGUUAAUUUGUUCAUUGGUUUUUUAAACAUGUAGCAAUCAUUGGAUGUUACUUGUGAUUUAUACCACCAUAAAUACGGUUCACGUAUUUGAUUCAAUUAAGAAGAAACGUAGCCUAGCAAUAAGACUAGUGGCAUUGGAUAGGUAAGUUCAUAUUUUUUUUUUCAACAUUUAUCUCUAAAUUGAUUAAUUUGUUCCAUUAUCUCACACUAUUUGUGAAUGAUAAUCGUUGAAUAGUGCCUUCAAAACUUAUAAUGCACAUGGUGGGAAAAGUAAAGGUUCACAAUUACAACGGGGCGCUGCUGUGUGUUCUCAACAGGAUGGGGGUACUGAGUGUGGGUAUUAUACGUCAAGGUUCAUGGAUGACAUAGUCCACUCAUAUAGUGGAAGUGAAAAUCUAUUCAAGGAUUUUAAACAACUAAACCUUACACUAAUGGGAAAAUUCGUAAAGUUUUAACUUGUUGGGCUCACUACUUUUUAGACUUUGUAUUCUCCUGAAGUCUAGUGUUUUUGUUAGAAUUAAAAAAGCUACUCCGUAAUAUUAUCAGAUAUUAAGACAUUUACUUAUAACUGUUAAAUCUUGUCUUCCCUUGUAGUUUUAUUUAUUUUGAAAUAUUUUGAUGUUUUGGACAACUUGUGACAGAUAUGUCGUUUUAGGAUGAUUUUAUGGAUUUUGAAUGGUUAAUGAUUUUGUAUUGGUUA